UCAAACUUGGUCAUUUAGAGGAAGUAAAAGUCGUAACAAGGUUUCCGUAGGUGAACCUGCGGAAGGAUCAUUAUCGCAUAAUCCGAGGAGGGGUCGCCGGCCGCGCCCGUCUGGGGUGUCGAGUGGACUCCCUCGCACCCCGCCCGUCUCGCGUUGAGUGGUCUCCCUCGCGCGGGGGAAACGAACGGGAGGGCAGCCAGGCAGGCUUCGGACCCCGACCCUCCAAACCAAAAAAAAAACCCCUGUGCUCCCUUCACGGCCGGAGGGCGUCGGCGAGAGCCGCUAGCCCCCAAGGCCGCAUCUCAACAAACCCGAGUUCAAAAGAAUGUGAAGCGGACCUCGUGCCGCCUACAAUCGAAACAACUUUCAACAACGGAUCUCUUGGCUCUCGCAUCAAUGAAGAACGCAGC
rnacentral:misc_RNA from 1 species